UACGGUAGGGAGCAAGCGUUUGUCCGGAAUCAUUGGGCGUAAAGCGCGCGUAGGCGGCCUCAUAAGUCCGUUGUGAAAGUCAAAGGCUCAACCUUUGAAAGCCGAUAGGAAUACUGUGAGGCUAGAGUCCGGAAGAGGCGAGUGGAAUUCCUGGUGUAGCGGUGGAAUGCGCAGAUAUCGGGAGGAACACCAGUAGCGAAGGCGGCUCGCUGGGCCAUUCCUGACGCUGAGACGCGAAAGCUAGGGGAGCGAA
rnacentral:rRNA from 1 species